UACGGGGGGGGCAAGCGUUGUUCGGAAUUACUGGGCGUAAAGGGCGCGUAGGCGGCCUUCUAAGUCGGACGUGAAAUCCCUCGGCUUAACCGAGGAACUGCGUCCGAUACUGAAAGGCUUGAAUCCGGGAGAGGGAUGUGGAAUUCCAGGUGUAGCGGUGAAAUGCGUAGAUAUCUGGAGGAACACCGGUGGCGAAGGCGGCAUCCUGGACCGGCAUUGACACUGAGGCGCGAAAGCUAGGGGAGCAAACGGG
rnacentral:rRNA from 1 species